rnacentral:siRNA from 1 species
AUAAACCCGUAAUUUUCCUGCUAA